UUACGGCCAUAUCACGUCGAAACACAAGUUCCUGUACGAUCACCGAAGUUAAGCAACAUUGUGCCUAGUUAGUACCUAGAUGGGUGACCGAUUGUG